rnacentral:lncRNA from 10 species
UCCAGGGGCAUCUGCGCCGUGGCCGGCCUGGUCUUCUCUGAAUACCCCUAAGCCUGACUCUUGGGUUGUGAAUGUCCGCGAGGUUGGGGGACCUGCUGGCCCUGUCCCCACACCGCUUUCAGCCUUUCAUCACCCAACCAAAGACAGAAGCUCAAACGUGGGCACCAAAGUCUAGCGGACGCACCGAACUCCAGGCUCCAAGCACAUCCACCCAUGGUGGCUUUAUUCAGUCACGUCCCCACGCCCACGGCUCCCUCCACCAGGCAGACAGAGGGGAGGCCCCGGGAAGUGGGGACGGGCCGAG